GAUGAACGCUGGCGGCGUGCCUAAUACAUGCAAGUCGAGCGAACAGACGAGGAGCUUGCUCCUUUGACGUUAGCGGCGGACGGGUGAGUAACACGUGGGUAACCUACCUAUAAGACUGGGAUAACUUCGGGAAACCGGAGCUAAUACCGGAUAAUAUUUCGAACCGCAUGGUUCGAUAGUGAAAGAUGGCUUUGCUAUCACUUAUAGAUGGACCUGCGCCGUAUUAGCUAGUUGGUAAGGUAACGGCUUACCAAGGCAACGAUACGUAGCCGACCUGAGAGGGUGAUUGGCCACACUGGAACUGAGACACGGUCCAGACUCCUACGGGAGGCAGCAGUAGGGAAUCUUCCGCAAUGGGCGAAAGCCUGACGGAGCAACGCCGCGUGAGUGAUGAAGGUCUUCGGAUCGUAAAACUCUGUUAUUAGGGAAGAACAAACGUGUAAGUAACUGUGCACGUCUUGACGGUACCUAAUCAGAAAGCCACGGCUAACUACGUG
rnacentral:rRNA from 1 species